rnacentral:rRNA from 1 species
UGGGCGGAGCCUGACGCAGCAACGCCGCGUGAGGGAUGACGGCCUUCGGGUUGUAAACCUCUUUCAGCGCUGACGAAGCCCCAUGACUUUGUUGUGGGGUGACGGUAGGCGCAGAAGAAGCACCGGCUAACUACGUGCCAGCAGCCGCGGUAAUACGUAGGGUGCGAGCGUUGUCCGGAAUUAUUGGGCGUAAAGGGCUCGUAGGCGGCUUGUCGCGUCUGCUGUGAAAGCCCGGGGCUUAACCCCGGGUCUGCAGUGGAUACGGGCAGGCUAGAGUCCGGCAGGGGAGACUGGAAUUCCUGGUGUAGCGGUGGAAUGCGCAGAUAUCAGGAGGAACACCGGUGGCGAAGGCGGGUCUCUGGGCCGGUACUGACGCUGAGGAGCGAAAGCGUGGGGAGCGAACAGGAUUAGAUACCCUGGUAGUCCACGCCGUAAACGUUGGGCGCUAGGUGUGGGUUCCCUUCCACGGGGUCCGUGCCGUAGCUAACGCAUUAAGCGCCCCGCCUGGGGAGUACGGCCGCAAGGCUAAAACUCAAAUGAAUUGACGGGGAAUCGAAUUCCCGCGGCCGCCAUGGCGGCCGGGAGCAUGCGACGUCGGGCCCAAUUCGCCCWWGGGGGGNNNCSNN